GCCUACGGCCAUACCACCCUGAGAACGCCCGAUCUCGUCUGAUCUCGGAAGCUAAGCAGGGUCGGGCCCGGUUAGUACUUGGAUGGGAGACCGCCUGCGAAUACCGGGUGCUGUAGGCU
rnacentral:rRNA from 1 species